AACAGGAUUAGAUACCCUGGUAGUCCACGCCGUAAACGAUGUCGACUUGGAGGUUGUGCCCUUGAGGCGUGGCUUCCGGAGCUAACGCGUUAAGUCGACCGCCUGGGGAGUACGGCCGCAAGGUUAAAACUCAAAUGAAUUGACGGGGGCCCGCACAAGCGGUGGAGCAUGUGGUUUAAUUCGAUGCAACGCGAAGAACCUUACCUACUCUUGACAUCCAGAGAACUUAGCAGAGAUGCUUUGGUGCCUUCGGGAACUCUGAGACAGGUGCUGCAUGGCUGUCGUCAGCUCGUGUUGUGAAAUGUUGGGUUAAGUCCCGCAACGAGCGCAACCCUUAUCCUUUGUUGCCAGCGGUCCGGCCGGGAACUCAAAGGAGACUGCCAGUGAUAAACUGGAGGAAGGUGGGGAUGACGUCAAGUCAUCAUGGCCCUUACGAGUAGGGCUACACACGUGCUACAAUGGCGCAUACAAAGAGAAGCGACCUCGCGAGAGCAAGCGGACCUCAUAAAGUGCGUCGUAGUCCGGAUUGGAGUCUGCAACUCGACUCCAUGAAGUCGGAAUCGCUGGUAAUCGUGGAUCAGAAUGCCACGGUGAAUACGUUCCCGGGCCUUGUACACACCGCCCGUCACACCGUGGGAGUGGGUUGCAAAAGAAGUAGGUAGCUUAACCUUCGGGAGGGCGCUUACCACUUUGUGAUUCAUGACUGGGGUGAAGUCGUAACAAGGUAACC
rnacentral:rRNA from 1 species